AGAGUUUGAUCAUGGCUCAGAACGAACGCUGGCGGCAGGCUUAACACAUGCAAGUCGAACGCACCGCAAGGUGAGUGGCAGACGGGUGAGUAACGCGUGGGAACGUGCCCUUCAGUUCGGGAUAACCCAGGGAAACUUGGGCUAAUACCGGAUACGUGCGAGAGCAGAAAGAUUCAUCGCUGAAGGAUCGGCCCGCGUCUGAUUAGCUAGUUGGUAGGGUAAUGGCCUACCAAGGCGACGAUCAGUAGCUGGUCUGAGAGGAUGAUCAGCCACAUUGGGACUGAGACACGGCCCAAACUCCUACGGGAGGCAGCAGUGGGGAAUAUUGGACAAUGGGCGCAAGCCUGAUCCAGCCAUGCCGCGUGAGUGAUGAAGGCCUUAGGGUUGUAAAGCUCUUUCGUCCGGGACGAUAAUGACGGUACCGGAGGAAGAAGCCCCGGCUAACUUCGUGCCAGCAGCCGCGGUAAUACGAAGGGGGCUAGCGUUGUUCGGAAUCACUGGGCGUAAAGGGCGCGUAGGCGGCCUGAUAAGUCGGGGGUGAAAGCCUGUGGCUCAACCACAGAAUUGCCUUCGAUACUGUCGGGCUUGAGACCGGAAGAGGUAAGUGGAACUGCGAGUGUAGAGGUGAAAUUCGUAGAUAUUCGCAAGAACACCAGUGGCGAAGGCGGCUUACUGGUCCGGUUCUGACGCUGAGGCGCGAAAGCGUGGGGAGCAAACAGGAUUAGAUACCCCGGUAGUCC
rnacentral:rRNA from 2 species